rnacentral:rRNA from 1 species
AACACAUGCAAGUCAAGGGCUUGCUUUAUCAAGCACUGGCGUCCGGGUGAGUAACGCGUAGGUCAUCUGCCCCUAUCACAGACAUAACAGUUCUAACGGACUGCUAAUAUCUGAUGAGGCGAGCAAUCGUCCCUCUUAGGCGGAUAGGGAUGAGCCUGCGUCUGAUUAGGUAGUUGGUGAGGUAAUGGCUCACCAAGCCUUCGAUCAGUAACUGGUCUGAGAGGACGAACAGCCACUCUGGAACUGAGACACUGUCCAGACUCCUACGGGAGGCACCAGUGAGGAAUAUUGGUCAAUGGGCGCAGGCCUGAUCCAGCGACGCCGCGUGCGGGAUGAACGGGCUUUGCCUCGGAAACCGCUGUCGGGUGGGACUAAAGGUAUCUUUGAGCUACUGGGACGGUACCAUCCAAGGAAGGAUCGGCUAACUACGUGCCAGCAGCCGCGGUAAUACGUAAGAUCCGAGCGUUGUCCGGAGUUACUGGGUGUAAAGGGUGCGUAGGCUGUUCUGUGCGUCAUAGGUGAAAUCCACGGGCUUAACUCGUGGGGUGCCUUUGAUACGGCAGGGCUUGAGUACGAGAGAGGUGCGUGGAAUUCCUGGUGUGUCAGUGAAAUGCGUAGAGAUGUGCAUGAAUAUCAAUGGCGAAUGCAGCCCCCUGAGAUCAUAUAGUCGCUCAUGCACUAGCGCGUGUAGAGCAGACACGAUUACAUACACUGGUAGUGCAUCGCCCUAGACUAUCUCACCUAGUUGUCGUAGCACUAAAUCUAUCAGUAACGCAGCUGAACGCAUUAAGUGCCCCGACCUGGGCAGUACAGCCGCAAAGUUGAACCUCAAGGAGUGAAUGGGCCCAGCACAGCAGCGUACGUGAUGCUGACUCGAUGCUACGCGAGUAUCGUGACUGAGUUUGACCUGUACGAAACCUACCAUGAUGCUGUGUCGUAC